rnacentral:lncRNA from 1 species
ACUAAUAAAUCCAUUCAUUCGACAUGUUUAAAUAAUGCCUUAUUUGGUAUCCAAUCCAGGAUGUUUGUUUUUUAACAGAGAAUUGAAAAUUUGCAGAAUUCUCUCAUAUAUGUAAUACUAUUUAUGAGUAAAUUACUUAACUUUCAUCAUUAGCUAGGAUUAAACUAUCAACAAAGAGAAAGAGUUUAGUUUUUUAAAAAACUAACAGGAUUUUAAAAAGAAAAGAUUUGACAUUUUAACAGAUUUAUUUUUUUUAGGGCCACACCGCCGCAGGCUAAGGGUCAAAUCAGAGCUACAGCUGCCAACCUAUGCCACAGCCACAGCAAGGCCAGAUCUGAGCGGUGUCUGCAACCUACACUGCAGCUCAUGCCAACGCCAAAUCCUUAACCUAAUGAUCAAGACCAGGGAUCGAACCCGCGUCCUCAUGUUUACUAGUUGGGUUCAUUACCACUGAACCACAAUAGGAACUCCCUUAACAUAUAUUUUAUUUGAAAGAUUUUUAAAAUAUAAAUAAUCACCGAUAGUUCAGGGAGAUGUGGCCAUAGACUGGUCCCAGAGAGGUAUUUAAGUUUUUUACUAAACUCACACAUCUGUGUUUUUCUACUCAAAAACUGACAAGAUAGAUAUAAAACACAUUAAAAUCUUUUUUUAAAUACCAUGCAGCAACAAUCCCUUAGAGGCAGCAACCGUGAGAUGGUGCUUAAACAAAGAAUUUUUUUCCCCCAACAAUAACAAUUUUCUUUAGAUUCAUUUACAAAACCUCACUACACAGCAUGAGGCAUAAUUUCCUGGUAAGUAACUAUAAAGUAGAAUUAACUAUCCUCAAAUGACUAUGAAAUUAAGUCAGCCAUAUCAGAUUAAGAUGACCAUAAAUGCAGUUAAAAACAUGCUAAUUUACAUAGGCCCCUAACCAUGUUUAAUUGCCACAUUAAAAAUCCUAAACGCAUUCCCUUCAGAUGCUGGUCUGUGCUUUUAUAACUCAGAAUUGUGUCAACUAAAUUAACUUGUUUUGUCUGAACGUUGUACUUGGUUUUUAAAUUUAUAUUACUGGUAACAUUCACCAGCUCUAGCUAUGAUGUCUAAAUAUUUUUAUUAAUGUAACUAAAUCCAUCAAACUGAUUUUCAUGAGGUGAGCAAUGUGUUAAAAAAAAAAAAACUCUCAGCCAACUACAACAUGAGUCAUCAUAAAGAAUUUAUAGAUAAGAUAUUCAUGAUGCUGUGGUCCACUUCUUUUGGCACCUUUAACCAAAUGGGAUAGAUCUUCCCAUGAACUAGGAAACUGAAGAUAAGCUAAAGCACCAGCCAGUGUCAGAAUCACUGCUGUGCCACUCCUACACCAUGCACAGCCCUCUCUCACACUCACUCAUCUCUACAAGCCGAAAAGAACCGAAGCUUUUCACCCUAGGGCGAUCCCCACCCUUAGGAGAGCCUGCCUCAGCUCUGGACACCCUUUCUCCACUGGCCUGUCAACCACCUAGCUUGUGGAUACAGAAAACAAAACCACUGGCUUGUUUCUGCUCUACCCUCUGCAUAGAUUUUCUUUCUUUCUUUUUUUGUCUUUUUUUUUAUUUUUUUUUUAUUUUAAGGCCGCACUUGUGGCAUAUGGAGGUUCCCAGGCUAGGGGUCUCUCUAGAAUGAACUAUUUGAUUUGAAGCCUAGGCAUCUUUGGAUGUGGCUUCCUUCCUGAACUACCCUUUCAUCUUUCCUCACUUAAACCACUUGCAAAUGCACUGUCUUGUUACCUUCUGUUUAUCCCUGUCACUCAAAGAACCAGGAUAUCAGGCACCCAGAAGAGAGAACAAAUUAUUUACUCCACCAGCUACUUAGGCAACCCCCAAGCAUUAGCGAAAAUAUCUUUUUCUCACUGUAUGCGCUAUGGAGACUUCAACAGGCAUCAGUGUGGAAGAGAUGAAACAAUUCCCACCUACUGAGGGGAAAGAACACAGAGCAUAGCGUCGUCUUGGUUUCCUCCAUGACAUGAUACAUGUUGGUCACCAUAAUGCCCCAGCUCAGUUAGGAGUUAGAAUCCAAAAGCAUCCCCACGAGGCAGCAGAGUGAGAAUGACCCAGGCUGACCCAUUUCAACAUGCAGAGUAGACGCACGGAAAGGCUUGGCUAGUUCAGUACACACUACCAUCCCCGUGAGAAGGCUGAGACGUUCUCACCCCAGAGGUAGGCUUCCUGGGGCUGUGGGAAAUGAUGAACUGUCUUAGGCUCUUACAGCACUGAGGGGAGAGAGUGUAAAAACCAGGGGAGAACGGAGAAGGUUCUUUUAAAGUGAUGAAGAUUAACAUGGAGGAGGACAGAAAUCAAGACAGGAAAGGAAGGAGAAGGUGCUGUGAUGUGAUAGGCCAAGGAUCUCUGCUGUCAACAUUCUAAAAUCUUUCCUAUCAGUUUUUUUGUUUU